CACGUAGGGCGCAAGCGUUGUCCGGAAUUAUUGGGCGUAAAGAGCUCGUAGGUGGUUUGUUACGUCUGCUGUGAAAACCUAGGGCUUAACCCUGGGCUUGCAGUGGAUACGGGCAGACUAGAGGUAGGUAGGGGAGAACGGAAUUCCUGGUGUAGCGGUGAAAUGCGCAGAUAUCAGGAAGAACACCCGUGGCUAAGGCGGCUCUCUAGUACGGUACUGACGCUGAGACGCGAAAGCGUGGGGAGCGAACAGG
rnacentral:rRNA from 1 species